GGGGAAGGGGCCGAGAUCGGGCGGCUUGGGGAGCCUGGCGGUCGCCAUUGCAAUGCACUGAGUAACGGGGCGGUGCGAGAGCAGUCACCAACCCCCCUCUUCGGGGCUGCUCCGACUCGGCCAGAAGCGUAGGCUCUGGCGUUAACUGUACACACCCCUCCCCUAACGUGGGACCAGGACCGCAUAGCCCACCCCUCCCCCCUGUUCUGCAAGAUUUUAUGCUGCUAGGUGCCUGGGAAGUAACAGCAAGAGGUUUGAUUUAUUUUCGAAUGAGGUUGUUCCUGCAGCGAGAUGUUAAUAAGACAAAAUCUAGACUAAAUGUGUUAAAUGGGCUUGACAACAGUAUGGAUGAUUUGAAGAUAAACACCGAUGUUACUGGUGCUAAAGAAGAACUCCUAGAUGACAACAAUUUUAUCUCAGACAAAGAGAGUGGAGUUCAUAAACCAAAAGAUUGUCAAACAUCAUUUCAGAAAAACAGUACAUUCACUCUGCCUGAAGAACUGUCAAAGGACAAAUCUGAAAAAGCCUUAAGUGGAGGCCAGUCUACGCUAUUUAUACAUGCUGGUGCUCCUACUGUUUCUAGUGAAAACUUUAUCUUGCCUAAAGGAGCUGCUGUUAAUGGACCAGUUUCACACUCCUCCUUAACUAAGACUUCCAAUAUGAAUAAAGGCAGUGUUUCAUUAACCACUGGACAGCCUGUGGAUCAGCCAACAACAGAAUCUUGUUCAGCUUUGAAGGUGGCAGCUGAUGUUCAGCUGUCUACACCACAGAAAGCAAGUCAACACCAAGUUUUAUUUUUGUUAUCAGAUGUAGCACAUGCUAAGAAUCCAACCCAUUCCAUUAAAAAACUACCUACCUCUGCUUCAAUUGGUUGUGACAUUCAGAAUUCAGUAGGGAGUAGUAUAAAGUCAGAUAGCACUUUACUAAAUCAAGUAGAGGUGGGUGAGGAUAGUGAAGAUUUAUUGGUAAAAGAUGAUUGUGUCAGUACAUUAACAGGAAUUUCCUCAGGUACAGAUGAAUUUAGGUCAGAAAAUGACACAAACUGGGAUCCCCAAAAAGAAUUCAUUCAGUUUCUUAUGACUAAUGAAGACACAGUGGAUAAAGCUCCAGUUCACUCUAAAGUAGGUCUAGAAAAAAAGAGAAAGCGAAAAAUGGAUGUAAGCAAGAUAACUCGUUAUACUGAGGACUGCUUUAGUGAUUCUAACAGUGUUCCCAAUAAAUCAAAAAUGCUAGAAGUAGACUUUAUGGAACAGAAUGAAGAACUACAAGCAAUAGACUCACAGAAAUAUGCGUUAUCAAAAGUGAAACCUGAAUCAACUGAUGAAGACUUGGAAUCUGUGGAUACUUUUCAACAUCUAAUUUAUAACCCAGAUAAGUGUGGAGAAGACAGUUCACCUGUUCAUACUAGCACUUUUCUUUCAAAUACCUUAAAAAAGAAAUGUGAAGAAAGUGAUUCUGAGUCACCUGCUACUUUCAGCACUGAAGAGCCAUCAUUCUACCCCUGUACAAAGUGCAAUGUGAAUUUUAGGGAGAAAAAACAUCUCCACAGGCAUAUGAUGUAUCAUUUAGAUGGGAAUAGUCACUUUCGACAUCUUAAUGUCCCAAGGCCAUAUGCUUGUAGAGAAUGUGGACGGACAUUUCGAGAUCGUAACUCGCUACUAAAGCAUAUGAUUAUUCACCAAGAAAGAAGACAGAAGUUGAUGGAGGAAAUUCGUGAAUUGAAGGAACUUCAGGAUGAAGGAAGAAGUGCACGAUUACAAUGCCCUCAGUGUGUGUUUGGUACCAAUUGCCCUAAAACAUUUGUGCAACAUGCUAAAACCCAUGAAAAAGAUAAAAGGUACUACUGCUGUGAAGAGUGUAACUUUAUGGCAGUGACAGAAAAUGAAUUGGAAUGCCAUCGAGGAAUUGCCCACGGAGCAGUGGUAAAAUGCCCUAUUGUCAGUUCUGAUGUAGCCCAGAGAAAAACGCAAAAAAAGACUUUCAUGAAAGACCCCGUUAUAGGAUCAUCCAAAAAAUCAGCUACCUACAUAUGUAAGAUGUGUCCUUUUACUACUUCAGCCAGGAGUAUUUUAAAAAAACACAUGGAGUACUUGCAUUCAUCGUCAUGCGUUGAUUCAUUUGGCAGUCCUCUUGGACUUGAUAAGAGAAAAAGUGACAUAAUCGAAGAAGCUAUAGAUACUGAUAGUCCUAAACCGUUAACUAAACAACAGUCAACAACAUUUCCAAAGAACUCUGCUUUAAAACAAGAUGUAAAGCGAACAGUUGGAUCAUCCUCACAAUCAAGUAAUUUUUCAAAAUUACAUAAGCGGCCACACAGAAUACAAAAAGCUCGGAAAAGCAUUGCCCAGUCAGGUGUAAAUGUGUGCAAUCAAAAUAAUUCUCCUCACAAGACUGUUAUGAUUAAAAGCAGCAUUGACCAAAAACCUAAGUAUUUCCAUCAGGCAGCAAAAGAAAAAUCUAAUGCCAAGGCAAAUAGCAACUAUUUAUAUAGACCUAAAUAUGAGAACUACAGGAUGAUCAAAAAGUCAGGUGAAUCAUAUCCUCUGCAUUUCAAAAAAGAGGAAGCUAGUUCAUUAAACUCUUUACAUCUGUUUUCAUCAUCAAGUAAUUCUCACAACAAUAGUUUUAUUUCAGACCCUCAUAACUCUGACACCAAAAGGCCAGAAAGCUUCAAAGACCACAGGCGUGUAGCUGUAAAGAGAGUAGUUAAGGAAGCUAAGAAGGAAAGUUCUGUUGGAGGAGACUUGGAUAGCUAUCCAGAUUUCUUGCAUAAAAUGACCGUUGUUGUUUUGCAAAAACUUAAUUCUGCUGAAAAGAAAGAUAGCUAUGAAACAGAAGAUGAAAGUUCCUGGGACAAUGUUGAGCUAGGUGACUACACUACACAGACUAUAGAAGAUGAAACCUAUGAUGAUAUUAAUCAAGAACAUGUAAACUUAUUCCCUCUAUUUAAAAGCAAGGUGGAAGGUCAAGAGCCUGGAGAAAAUGCUACACUUAGUUAUGAUCAAAAUGAUGGCUUUUAUUUCGAAUAUUAUGAAGAUGCUGGAACUAAUAACUUUUUGCAUGAGAUACAUGAUCCUCAGCAUUUAGAAAAUGCAGAAACUUCGUUGUCAAAGCAUAGUUCUGUUUUUCACUGGACUGAUUUGUCUCUUGAGAAGAAAUCAUGUCCUUACUGCCCAGCAACAUUUGAAACAGGUGUUGGGUUAUCAAAUCAUGUCCGGGGACAUCUUCACAGAGCAGGAUUAAGCUAUGAAGCCCGUCAUGUUGUAUCACCAGAACAAAUAGCCACAAGUGACAAAAUGCAACAUUUCAAAAGAACUGGCACAGGAACACCUGUUAAGCGAGUUAGAAAAGCUAUAGAGAAGUCUGAAACCACUUCUGAACACACUUGUCAGCUCUGUGGUGGUUGGUUUGAUACUAAAAUUGGAUUAUCAAAUCAUGUUAGAGGCCACCUGAAAAGACUUGGAAAGACCAAGUGGGAUGCUCACAAAUCUCCAAUCUGCGUUCUGAAUGAGAUGAUGCAAAAUGAAGAAAAAUAUGAAAAAAUCUUAAAGGCGUUGAACAGUCGUCGUAUUAUUCCUAGACCAUUUGUAGCUCAAAAAUUUGCAUCAAGUGAUGACUUUCUAUCUCAAAAUGUGAUACCUCUUGAAGCAUACCGUAAUGGCCUAAAGACUGAAACUUUAUCAGUGUCUGCAUCAGAGGAAGAAGGGCUGAGUUUCUUAAAUGAAUAUGAUGAAACAAAACCAGAGCUGCCAAGUGGGAAAAAGAAUCAGUCUCUUACACUGAUAGAACUGCUUAAAAAUAAAAGGAUGGGAGAAGAAAAGAAUUCUUCUAUGUCUCCUCAAAAGAUCCAUAAUCAAACAGCAAGAAAGAGAUUUGUUCAGAAAUGUGUGCUUCCACUAAAUGAAGAUAGUCCAUUGAUGUAUCAGCCACAAAAAAUGGACUUCACUAUGCACUCAGCCUUAGAUUGUAAGCAAAAGAAAUCAAGGUCAAGAUCCGGAAGCAAGAAGAAAAUGCUAACAUUACCUCAUGGUGCUGACGAGGUUUACAUUCUCCGAUGCAGCCACAUUAAAUUAUCCGUUUAUAAAUACUAAAGCAGGAAAAUGGGGAAAAGUGAAUGACAGUGACAUCAGAGCAAAUUGAGUACUUCAAACAACUGUGGUUUUGCCAAACACUGGAAUAAUACUCAGCAAUAAAGAACGAACUACUGAUACAUGGAAAACGUGAGUAAAAUUUAAAAACAAGCUGAGUGAAAGAAGCCGGACACAAAAAGAACACAAGGUAUAGUUUCAAUUUAUAUGAAACUGUAGAAAAAUCUAAUAUAUGGUGACAGCAGAUCAGUGGUUGCCUGGAGUGGAGGUGGGAUGUUUUGACUGCAAAGGGACAAAGGAAGUCUUGUGAUGAAAUGUUUUUAUCUUGAUUGUAGUAGUGGUUACACAAUAUUUCAAAAUACAUAGAAAUGCACACCUAAAUGAGUAUGUUUUCUUGUAUGUAGAUUACAUCUCAAAGUUAAGGAAAAAAAUGAUACAUCUAGAAUCCAGCCCCUUUUUAUCAUCUCCAAUGUUUCAAUCCUGAUCAAAGUCACCAUCAGUUUUCACCUGGCUUAUUGCAAUAGGCUUCUAACUUUUCUCUAUUCUUGCCCUCUUUCAGCUUAUUCUCUGCAUAGAAUUCAUAUGAUUCUAUUAAAACCCAGGUAAUACCACACCAUUUAUCUGCUUAAAGUGCUCCAAUGGCUUCCAAGUUCACUUUAAGCAAAUACCAAAGUAAACCAUUUUACAAUAACCCUCUGUGUGCUCUGCCUCCACCCUUCACCCCCAACAUCUGUCUGCCUCCUCUUUUACUCCAGCCAUUCUGGCCACUUCAUUGCUUUUUGAAUAUACCAGAGACAUGCUUCCUCAGCCCUGUGCAUUGCUGUGCCUUUGGCUUUGGAUGCUUUUCCCUGGCAUCUCUACGUGACUCUCUUUCUCGUUUCCUUCAAGUCUUUAACUCAAAUGUCACCUUUCCUGCAAGGCCUGCCUUGACCACAAUAUUUAAAUUCCAAGCCCUUCUCUCCAGGUUUAAAGUAAGUAUGUCAAUUUGGGGAGAUAUUUUACAAAGUAAAUAGUAAAUAAUAUGAAACUAAUUGUUUGAUUAUUUUUUUCCUGCAGGAAGAAAGUGUUACUUGGGUUAGGCUCUGCUUAACAUCUAACUGUGUGGGGGCUCAAAUUCGCACUAACUCAAUUUGCCAACCUGUAAAUGCAGAGAUGCCUCUAAUGAAACUCAAAAUUUUUUCACAGCCUUGGAAAGCUUCAAGAUAAGAACAGGUGUUUAAUUGUGAAGUGGGAAUCUCCCUGAAAGUUGCCAAUGCUCUCAGCAGCAUGGCCUAAUAGUAGGAGACCAAGGUUUCCCAUGCCGCAUAGAUUACUAAGAAUUGGGCUAUUAUUCUAAACAGAAAGGGCAGAAGCUGACCAGGGCUGCUUUUUGAAGACAAAAAUGUGCCCAACAUAUUCUUCACUAAAAAAGAGCUGUUUGCCACAGAGUCUCUCCCCUUCCUGUCCCUCCUCAUUACCCCCCAAAGCAUUGAUCAAUAGUUACUGAUACUUAAAAAAAGAAAAAAAAAAAAACCCUUCAGGGAUUGUGGAAGCCUGAAAAAACCUGUAUAUUAGAAAUAUUAGAGAAAUUCUUUGUCUUUUAUUGUAACAGAAAAGCUGUGAAGGCCAGACUUUCCAUGGAGACUGAAAAUAAGGUUAGGCCUAAGGCCAACUGAGAAAGGAAUUUGUGUUAAGUGCGUAUUUAAUAUGAAUGAUUUUUAAAGUGUUUAUAAUUUCUCUGUUUUUUCCCCAUGAAUUGUAUAAUGUAAUGACUGGUGUUCUUAAAGAUAUAAAUUAUUCUUAGAUGAUACCUCCUUCUUAGGGGAAAGAAGGGCCCAGAAUUGCAAUGGCAGGAGUUUAUCAAACUUGUUUUGAAAUGAGAUAAUUAGUAAAUGGAGGUGGUGGGGCCGUCACAUGACAGUGACCUAAAAGGGGGAGUGAAGGCACAGGAGGAGAAGAAGGAGAGGGCAAGCAUUCUGGACCAGGGGAAAAACAACUUGGUUAGCAUUGUAUAUGCCAGGAAUAAAAAUAUAUAUAUUAAAUAAGAAGUGUUUCCUUUCCUUACCAAAUUAUCUUUCCUAGUUGCUACUGGACCUUGUCACUGCUGGGCCUGGAGGUGAGAAGUGAUGGGAAAUUGGAAGAGGCUCGAUCACUCCACUUGGGAAAAAACACAGAGCCCCCAAACAGGCACUGGAGGCAAGGUAGCGAGGAGAGAAUCUCAACCCAGAACUGUGGGAGUGUGAGGGGAGGGAAGAAAGAGUGGAGGUCUGAGUGUUGCCAAGAACUGUGCUUCGUGGAUAGACAAAGAGGAGCUUUAGAGUUGAUGCUCACUCCCUCAAGAAAACAAAACAAAACAAAAAACAAACAAAACUUUCCAUAAAGAUGCACAUUCUCCUCGAGGCUUUUGGAAUUAAAUUGGGCAGCAUCAUCGUGGCCUUAAGGUACAUUUAGUAGCAAAACAGCCUAGAACUCAGUCCUCGUGAAUCCUUCAUUAGCCACUAAAGAAUUUCUCCUUGGAUAAUAUAAAGAAGCUGGUCCACUCCACCUGAGAGCUGGGGGAAGGGUUUGCUUAAGGCAACCUGUGAGCAAAUCUGAAAGUGAGCUUAGUUCGGUGUCAGAACUUCAUUGCAUGUGGGUUGGGAAUGGGCAGGGUGUAAUGAAAGAUCACAAAACAUUGGUCAAAUAUGGACAGCCACAUACAAAAGAAUGAAACUGGAACACUGUCUUACUCCAUAUACAAAAAUUUACUCAAAAUGGAUUGAAGACUUGAAUAUAAAACCUGAAACAAUAAAACUCUUAGAAGAAAACAGGCGGUAAGCUCCAUGACAUUAGUCUUGGAGAUGAUUUUUUGGAUUUGACACCAAAAGCAAAGGGAACAAAAGAAAAAUAAACAGCUGGAACUACAUCAAACUAAAAAGCUUCUGCACAGCAAAGGAAACCAUUAACAAAAUGAAAAGAUAAGCUACAAUGAGAGAAAAUAUUUGCACAUCACAUAUCUGAAAAGAGGUUAAUACUCAAAAUAUAUAAAGAACUCAUGCAACCCAAUAGCAAAGAAAGAAACAAUCCAAUUAAAAAUAACCUAAAAUAGAAUAAAGACCUAAAUGUAAGACCAGAUAUUAUAAAACUCAUAGAGGAAAACAGGCAGAACACUCUUUGACAUAAAUCCCAGCAAUAUUUUUUUGGA